rnacentral:lncRNA from 1 species
UUUUUUUUUUUUUUUUUUGGCCAGGGAUCAAUCCCAUACCACAGCAGUGACAAUGCCAGAUCCUUAACUCUGAGCCACCAACCAAAAGUGUAAUUUCAAUGGACAAAAUCAGCUAGUUCCCAGAAUGCCUGUUUUAGAGUUGGAUAAGUACCUAUGGUUACUUAAACACAAUUGGCCAUUAGUGCCGAAUUCCUUUCAGAAAGCCAUGGUGCCCACAUGAAUAUGGAGGGAGAGAGACCCCAGAACUCAGCCUAAUGGAGAAAAUCUGAUAAUAUUUUCAAACAAGCAUGACUGAAAGGACACCCUUAGACUUUCAGCUGGGACUCGAGGCAUCAAGGGCACCCUCUGUGGUUAUCUCCAUUUUUUCCCUUCCAUACAAAAGUCUCUAAAAUUUUACAACCACUUGCACAUCCCAUAGUGGGGGGCUGGAGAAAUAAGGGUGUGUGGUGAUGAGAAGAGGGAAGUCUGGGGUCUUAGCUUGGGCUACUAUACCAAAGCACCAUAACCUGGGUGACUCAUAAGCAAGAGAAAUUUAAUUCUCACAGUUCUGGAGCCUGUAGUCCAAGGUCAGGGUGCCAGCAGGGUCAGGUUGCAGUGAGAACGUCUUCCGUGUUGCAGCCUCCUGAUGUCAUGUCAAACCCUAAGAUGGUGGGAAAAGACGACACUAUCUCUCCAGCCUCUUCUUAAAUGGGUACUAAUCCCAUUCAUGACGUCCCUACCCAGAUACCUCCCAAAGUCCCCACCUCCAAACACCAUCACACAGGCGAAUAGUUUUCCACAUGUGAAUUUGGGGGGGGGGGAACAGAAACCUUUAGUUCAUAACAGGCCCCAUAAGCAGAGGGGAUUGUACCGGGAAUGACUUGAUGGAAUAAUGGAUGUGACAGCCAACUUCACAAGAGAUUCUUUCCCCGUAAUGGAGGUACAGGGGAGCCAUGGGACCUGUCAUAGGAGCCAAACUGCUGCCCCUUCAGCAACCUGUGUGUAUACGUGAUUCAGGGACCAAAUGAGUGGCAGCCCUCCAAAGCCUCACCACUUGGACACAACUCCAGAGAAGAGAACAGAGGGAAUCCUGAACUGACAGAGAUUGUGCUGUGGGCAGCAGAGAAACAGGAAAUCAAAGUAGAAAUUGAAUGGAGUUAUAGAAAAAUAAAGUUCUAUUUCCUAUACAUCUGAAAGAUCUCACUGUGUUUUUAAGAGAGAUCAUCGUUUAAACACUUAAAUUAGAAUUUCCCAUAGUCCUUAAGAAGAAGCUGAAAAUGCAAAUGGAAAAUUCCAUUAAAUUAGCUUAAGUUUCAGCUAACUUUUAAAGGUGCAUUUUGGAAAACCCUGUCUAUUCCAGUAAUUCCAAAGUGGAAGUUAUAGAUUCCUUCUUCACCCUUUGGCCACUCAUAAGCAUCACACACAUAAUUAACUACAGAACCAGAUUAAACGUAAUGACUCCAAAAGUUGCCCAGCACAGAGAAUCAAGAACCUCCAAGCAACAGGAUCUCUAGAUAGGCCUACUGAGAAGAUUCCCCCUUCAUCUCCUCUCCCUGCACAGCACAGACUCAACUCUGCAGCCCCCUCUGAGCCCUUUCCCUCUGCCCUUUAUCAGAGGCUGGUUUUCUCCUAAUGGAAGCAGAGCAGGCUCUUGCUAGCAGGAAGCAAGUAGAAUGGGUCAGAGAAACUAGAUUCAAAAGAAGGAUCAGAAAAUAUGCUCAACAUCACUAAUUACCAGGGAAAUGCAAAUCAAAACCACAAUGAGGUAACACUUCAUACCCAUCAGGAUGGCUAUUACAGAAAGAGAAAGAAAGAGGGAGAGAGGAAGGGAGGGAGGGAAGGAGGAAGGAAGGAAGGAAGGGGGGAAGGAAGGGAGGGGAGGGAAGAGGGAUGAAGAAAAAGGGAAAGAAAAUAGCAAGUGUUGGCAAGGACAUGGAGAAAUAGAAACCUUUGUGCACUGUUGGUGGGAAGGUGAAAUGGUGCAUGUGUUGCGGAAAAUGGUAUGACAAUUAAAAGCAGAAUUAUCAUAUGAUUAUCAGCUGUAUUUCUGGGUAUAUUAUACCCAAGAGAAUUGAGAGUAAGGUCUUGAAGAGAUAUUUACACCCCCAUAUGACUGCAGCAUUAUUCACCAUCACCAAGACAUGGAAGCAACUCAAGUGUCCAUCGACUAAUGAAAGAGUAAAGAAAAUGUGGCUUAUGAACACAAUGGAAUACGCUUCAGCCUUUAAAAGGAACGAAACUCUGACACAACGUGGGCAAACUACAAUGAACUACAAUUGUGUACCAAUUUUGAAGACAUGCGAAAGGAAGCAAGAUAAGACAAAUACUGUACAAUUGCACUUACAUGAGGUCUCUAGAGUCGUCAAAUUCAGAGGCAGUAUGUGGAAUGGUAGGUGCCAGGUUGGGGGAUAGUGUGUGGAAAUGAGGAGUCAGGGUUUAAUGGGUAGAGUUUCUGUUCUGAAAGAUAAAAAAGCUUUAGAGAUGGACGGUGGUGAUGGAUGCACAGCAAUGUGAAUGGACUUAGGGAUAGUGAACCGUGCGCUUGGGGAAAAGAAAAGAAAAAAAGUUAAAAGCGGAGAGAAAAGAACAAGGAGGGGAGGGAGAGGAAGGGCUGAGGGAGGCGAGGAGGAGGAGGAGGAGGGUCCCUCACAGGUAAACCGAAGGGAGCAUGGAACACACAGCACUGGGUUCAGGGCGUGGAGAGCCAGAGGGAAUGCCCAUCCUGGGAGCUGAGGAGACCAGGGCAGCUGACCCCAAAGGAGCGCCAGCGAACGGUUAAAGCCAGGGAGUGCUUUCCGCACGGUGCCAAGGGUGUGGCACCAAGGCCUCAACUCUCAAGUGGGGAAGCGGGGAGCUUUCAGUCGCCGUGUCUAACUUCGAGGCUCAUCUUAACGGCCACUCCUUCCCUCAAGCCCUGUCUGCCGUCGCACGCCCUGGCCCCAAAGGGGGCAAGAACCGGCUGAGGUAAAAAACACAAGCAAGCACACCUUACUCCUUCUAUUCGCCAGGCACAGACGUGUGCACGGCAAAUUCACAGAUGCACGGCAUAUCUGUGGUACUAACACUUUACGGUGGGCGGUGGUGAUGAGGCGAGAAAACGUCCGGCAGAGGGACAGUAACAGCCACACAAAGGUUCAGAAACGGCGCCCUGAAGUUUGAGGUAACGGGUGUGGCUCCCCUCCUCCAGACGCACGCAGCCCCGCGCUCCUCUCUCAGGCUCGGCCGUGGGUGGUCCGCGCGCCCUCACGGCGUCCAGCCUCCGCGGGCGGGCGCCCAGCCGGCCGUCGCGGUCAGGGUGGCUGCGCGCCUCCGCGCGAGGGAGCGGCGCCCGCGCGC